rnacentral:lncRNA from 10 species
CCGAGGCCGGCGGAUCACGAGGUCAGGAGAUCAAGACCAUCCCGGCUAACACGAAAUUGACAAAGAUCAGUGAUGAAGAGUGAGCAUACUGGAGUCACGUGGCAGCACGCUCAUCUAAUUAAUGAAGUGACAGUUUUAUGCUGUGAAGUAGCAAAAGGACUUGACAAGACUCAUGGCUUUUCUCAUUGACUCUAAAAGCUGGAAUGAUGUUUCUUAACAUUCGCACAAGCCAUGAAUAUCAUAUGUAUUGGGGAAUCAGAAGUAUCAGCCGGUUUGGAGUAUUGGGAGGACACUGGAAGAGCGGAAUUUAAGGUUCAUCUGUUUGAAUUGGAACUUGAGCUCGUCUCAAGAAGUCUGCUUACCACUAUAGGGAAAAGCAAACAAUGAUUGUAUUCUCUGAGAAGCCUCUGGCAGAACACGAAUUUGGAAAAAACAAGCACAUUAGUUUCAGUUUCUGUUGGUCAAGAUGAAAACAGCGGACAAUGAUGAAAUUUAUUAUUGGUGUUCCACCCAUCUCCUACCCACACUUCAAGGUCCACUUCAGGCCCCAGCCCCCAACAAAGCUGUUCAGGACCAGUAAGUCCAUGAUGUCCCAUGAAUUCCAAUUGCUUCUGCUAUCUAUGGGUCCUAUUAUGGCUCAUAAUCACUUAUGACUUCAAAUUGUUUUGUACUCUGGUUGUGGAUGCUCAAGUGAGAAAUAGCAGGCAGGACAUUAAAAUCUUCCAUUGGUUCAUUGACUCAUGAAACUUGGCUUGAUAUAAGCCCUCAGAUGUCCUUAUUGGAACAACCAUGGCUUGUUUAAGAUUUCAAGGAGUCUUUCUCUGAGGCCCUCCUUAACAUAUAAAGUCUAAAAUUGCCUACAGCAGCCAUAUUCCACCUGUAUUCUUACCUUAGAAUAAAUAAGGCACAUUUAUGCUGUGUAAGAGGUGAGUACUCACUCUCUCAGGCUACUUCCUUAAUAAUAACAUUCUACUUAUGCCUUUGCAUUCUUACAUUCAUUGAAGAAAGAGGUAGAACAUUAAUCAAUUAGCUAAUUACAUUAUUAUUUAAAUCUUUAGUUCCCCUGGACAUGUUUCCAUUAUAUCUGUGUUUUAAUAAUUUAUUCCAAAUAUAUAUUUGCUUUUUGUUAGGACUUUGGUUCUUCUCGUAUUUCAGCCUCUCUCUCUUAGACAUGAAUCCUUGGGCACAUGGAGGGUAGUGAAGGUCUGUUUUACAUGAAUCACAAAACCUCUCCUGCUAAGCCACUCUUCCCACAGGUGACUCUACAAUCUGAGACAAUGUGUACUUGUUGGAAGGACCUUCACAGCAUAUAGUCUAUGAAUCCAUGGGUAAGAGACUUCAUCACAGCCAUGGAAGAAUUAAUGAUGCUUAAUAACUCUUUGUGGACUCAACUGAAUAAAUGACUGACCUUAUAGCAGUUCUGCCAUCAUCUCCAUUCUUUUCCACUUUGGCUCACAAGACCCUACAGGAAUCUGAGGCCACUGACAACACCAACCUCACAUGUUCUCUGUGGGAUCUCAAGACUGCAGAUUUAACCACCUGGUCCUGAACUCAACAACAACCUGCCUACCAAUUACUUUAGUGAUUCAAACAGAAGCUCUUAGCUGCUUGUAUAUUAUGUAUGAUUUUUCUACCACUGCAUCUAGCUGUAACAAAUCCUACAUUUUUAUUCUUUCUAAAUCAAAUUGAUUCUGACUUCGUGCCUACACUAGUCAUGGAACUUCUUUCUCCCAAAGAAAUUCAAACUCUAAUAUUUUUGGAAACAGGUGGCUUAUGUGAGUAUCCAGAAACUGAGGAAAUGUUCUCUAAUCUUCAGUCAACCAUGAUGGUCUCUGAUAUGUAUGUUGUUCAAG